rnacentral:tRNA from 1 species
GGGCCAUUAAUUUAAUGGUAGAAUAGCUGCUUUGCAUGCAGUUUAUGAAGGUUCGAUUCCUUCAUGGUCCACCA